rnacentral:rRNA from 1 species
GAGUUUGAUCCUGGCUCAGAUUGAACGCUGGCGGCAGGCCUAACACAUGCAAGUCGAACGGUAACAGAAAGCAGCUUGCUGCUUUGCUGACGAGUGGCGGACGGGUGAGUAAUGUCUGGGAAACUGCCUGAUGGAGGGGGAUAACUACUGGAAACGGUAGCUAAUACCGCAUAACGUCGCAAGACCAAAGAGGGGGACCUUCGGGCCUCUUGCCAUCGGAUGUGCCCAGAUGGGAUUAGCUUGUUGGUGGGGUAACGGCUCACCAAGGCGACGAUCUCCAGCUGGUCUGAGAGGAUGACCAGCCACACUGGAACUGAGACACGGUCCAGACUCCUACGGGAGGCAGCAGUGGGGAAUAUUGCACAAUGGGCGCAAGCCUGAUGCAGCCAUGCCGCGUGUAUGAAGAAGGCCUUCGGGUUGUAAAGUACUUUCAGCGGGGAGGAAGGGAGUAAAGUUAAUACCCUUGCUCAUUGACGUUACCCGC